rfam:Triticum urartu cultivar G1812 contig195529, whole genome shotgun sequence.
CAUAUACUCCCUCCGUUCGGAAAUACUUGUCAGAAAAAUUGAUAAAAUGGAUGUAUCUAGAACUAAAUAUGUCUAGAUACAUCCAUCUCUUCAACAAAUAUUUCCGGACGGAGGGAGUAUGUG